CAGGGCAGCUUCGUCCAUCCAUCCCCGGCUGUCAUGUCUUCCGCAGCGCUGGGACAUAGGAGAACUCAGAUGUGCGUGUCCUCUGCCAGCAGGUUCCCAUCACCCAGCCCUUGCUCCCUGCACAGGGUGGUACUCAGUGAAUGUGUGGUGGCUCUUCAAGGGUUGAAGAAGAGAGGGCAGAAGAAAACCUGUCUCCUCAACUUGCUUUCCUGCCGUGGCUUUUCUCAGCUUGAGUGCUUCCCUUCCCAACUGACCACAUAUUAGGCCUUGCUUUGUACUACAUCCAUUCAAAACAAAGCAUCCAAAUGUUGCUCCCCUUGGGGAUUUACUUUAGAACAAAGACAAUUUUCAUUGGCACUCUUUUCUCCAGCUCCUGGGCUCCUUCCCCCUCUUGUGAACUGG
rnacentral:lncRNA from 1 species